rnacentral:tRNA from 1 species
UGUAAAAUAGUGUAAGGUGCACAAAAGCAUUUGACUCUUUAAGAUCUGGUUCAACUCCAAAAUUUACAA